AAAAUUGACAAUUUUAAUGACCACCAAUAGUCAGGGUCCAUGGUUACAGAGGUGUAAUCCCAGCUACUUGGGAAGCUGAGGCAGGAGGAUUGCUCAAGGCCAGGAGUUCAAGAGCAGCCUAAGCAACAUAGUAAGAACUCCCAUCUCUAAAAAUAAAAAAUAAAGAGCACCAACUAUAAACAAGACAUUGUGCUAAGAGCUUAGGGUUUACAAAUACAGUUAGGAUAUGAUCCCAUCUUUCAAGGAUGGAAUUAAUGGACUGGAGGAAGAGAUAUACAUAAAUCACUCUAACACAAGAUAGAUGGUGGCAUCAUAACAAAUAUACAGAGUUUAAAAGAUAUAUUUGAGCACUUUCUGUGGGCCAGCACGGUUCUGUGCAUUAUGGAUAAUGAGGUAAACAAAACAAGGGAUAGUCCUUGCCCUCACAGGGCUCUCAGUCUAGUGGGAAAAACAGAUAUUAAAUAAAUGACAGCUAUUUAUCCUUCAUUUAUCAGCUUAGGAAGGUCUUUCCUGAACUUUCUUCCCAGCCUCCUCUCUAGUUUAAAUGAGGUCUCCCCCAACCCCUUGCUUUAUCUUCUUUCAUAGGUCCAUGUACAUUUGUUUGAAGACCCUUGUCUUCAUUUUAAGUUAUAAGUUUAUUUCAGUAGUAGCUAGGUGAAAAGCACGUUAAGGAAGUUCCAAGUAGAACCUCUUCCAGCAGCACGUUUGAUGCACUUGAGGUGGAAAAUAAUUCAGACCUGUUGAGGAAUUAAAAACUCAGUGUAGAUGAAGCAGAAGAAGGAGGCAGAGAGAUUCAAGACCUAUCUGGAAAAAGAGGCAUGGGCCAGAUCAUGCAGAAUUUCCUAUGCCAAGAUUAAAAACAUUUUAUUUUAUUCACAUUGGCCUGGGAAGCCAUUGGUGGUUUUAAGCAUGUCAAAGUCUGUGAUGAAUGAGAGUGAAGUGAUGUUGCAGGUUCUUCCUUAGCAGUUGUUCCAUUUCCCCUGAAAUAAAGGGGAGAGUGGCCCUUCCCCAGUCUGUUAUUGGUUCAUGACCCCAGUUGGCACGUGACCCAAAUUGGUCAAAUCAGAGGGAUGCCUAGGAAUUUA
rnacentral:lncRNA from 1 species